GAUGUGUAGGAUAGGUGGGAGGCUUUGAAGUGUGGACGCCAGUCUGCAUGGAGCCGACCUUGAAAUACCACCCUUUAAUGUUUGAUGUUCUAACGUGGACCCGUGAUCCGGGUUGCGGACAGUGUCUGGUGGGUAGUUUGACUGGGGCGGUCUCCUCCUAAAGAGUAACGGAGGAGCACGAAGGUUGGCUAAUCCUGGUCGGACAUCAGGAGGUUAGUGCAAUGGCAUAAGCCAGCUUGACUGCGAGCGUGACGGCGCGAGCAGGUGCGAAAGCAGGUCAUAGUGAUCCGGUGGUUCUGAAUGGAAGGGCCAUCGCUCAACGGAUAAAAGGUACUCCGGGGAUAACAGGCUGAUACCGCCCAAGAGUUCAUAUCGACGGCGGUGUUUGGCACCUCGAUGUCGGCUCAUCACAUCCUGGGGCUGAAGUAGGUCCCAAGGGUAUGGCUGUUCGCCAUUUAAAGUGGUACGCGAGCUGGGUUUAGAACGUCGUGAGACAGUUCGGUCCCUAUCUGCCGUGGGCGCUGGAGAACUGAGGGGGGCUGCUCCUAGUACGAGAGGACCGGAGUGGACGCAUCACUGGUGUUCGGGUUGUCAUGCCAAUGGCACUGCCCGGUAGCUAAAUGCGGAAGAGAUAAGUGCUGAAAGCAUCUAAGCACGAAACUUGCCCCGAGAUGAGUUCUCCCUGAGACUUAGAGUCUCCUGAAGGAACGUUGAAGACGACGACGUUGAUAGGCCGGGUGUGUAAGCGCAGCGAUGCGUUGAGCUAACCGGUACUAAUGAACCGUGAGGCUUAACCUU
rnacentral:rRNA from 2 species